rnacentral:rRNA from 1 species
UCCCGUGAACCAUCGAGUCUUUGAACGCAAGUUGCGCCCGAAAGCUUCGGUUGAGGGCACGUUUGCCUGGGUGUCACACAUGGCGUUGCCCCUAACCCCUCGCCUUGAACUGGGCGGGCGGGACUUGGGUGCGUAUGCUGGCCUCCCGAGACGAACUUAUCCCGGUUGGCCCAAAAUCGAGCGUUGGAGCGAUUAGCACCACGACAUUCGGUGGUUGAUGAGACCCCAAUGAUCAAUGUCGUGGGCGUCGCUCAGCACACGCUCCACGAAUCUACCUUUCACCAACGCGACCCCAGGUCAAGCGGGGCUACCCGCUGAGUUUAAGCAUAUCAAUAAGCGGAGGAAAAGAAACUAACAAGGAUUCCCCUAGUAACGGCGAGCGAACCGGGAAGAGCCC